UACGGGGGGGGCAAGCGUUGUUCGGAAUUACUGGGCGUAAAGGGCUCGUAGGCGGCCAACUAAGUCAGACGUGAAAUCCCUCGGCUUAACCGGGGAACUGCAUCUGAUACUGGAUGGCUUGAGGUUGGGAGAGGGAUGCGGAAUUCCGGGUGUAGCGGUGGAAUGCGUAGAGAUCCGGAAGAACACCGGUGGCGAAGGCGGCCUGCUGGGAUCUUGCUGACGCUGAGGCGCGACAGCGUGGGGAGCAAACAGG
rnacentral:rRNA from 1 species